UUUGCUUUUACAGUCAACUCAACCCAAAGAUAUUUACUGGAAUUGUCUAGAAUAAAGAGCAGUAUAUCUUUUCAUUUUUUAGUAGUUAAACAGUUCUGGCUAUAUUGUUUAACAUCUCUAAUUUGUCACACAUUUUUCUGUUUUUAACCAUGUUGUAUUUGAAUUGCUAGGUAUUUUAAAUGGGAGCUGAGAAUAGCCCAACUGAAAAUGAAACAAGAUAAGGAAAGUUACUUUCAUUAAGAGCUUGGCUAAGUCUCCUGUAGGCUGGAAUAUCAAAAUAUACUUGUAAUAUAUGAUAAUGCCUUCAAUGAAAACCACUGAAGGACAUCAUUUAAAAGUAAAUUUUAUGCAACAAUGUUCCAGUUGCUUUAAAUGUAUUUAGUAUUCCUCAGAGUGACUCUCAGUCAAGGUCAAUAGAAGAAAACCAUCAGAGAAUACAUAUAUGCAAUUAUUUUCCCAGUUACUGUUAUAAAUAUGGCAAACAGUAAAGCUUUUUUGUGACAAAUUAUUUCCUGAGAAGAGCAUUGUAAGCUGUCUGUCUGUCUAUCUGUCUGUCUGUAUGUUUACAAUGUUACUCAACAAAACGAGAUGUUUGGGGUUUAAAAUAUCUGGUAGUACAAAUUGAGACAGGAAAUGAAUAGGAAAAAAGAAAAACGAAUGGAACAGAGGAUUCUAGUUAUCAUGGGAGGUAGGAUGAAAGGUGGUGACACCCUGUUUUAGAAGAAAACCAAAAAUAACAGAGAGUUGCCAGGAAGAAUAGCAAGCACAAGUGCAACAAGGGCCAACAGAGAUGUACCAGGACUAUACCAGAGUUCAGAGAACAGUGGUCCAAAAAGGAAACAGAUACAAGCUAGUGAAAAUUAGAAAGUUAAAAUGCACUUAAUAGAAAAACCCUCAACAAAAGCAGGCCAAUCAAUAAGAGGAGAUUGGGCUUGAUGCAAAAUGGACCAGGCAGAUGGACUCACUGGGGAGCACAUUCCUAUUUUUAAUCAUGAGUUAAAGGUCCUGGCAGGUAUCUGUGUUAGAUUACACUCAUCAUCUAAGUGUUAGGUUCACCUACAUCAGAAUGACUACUCAUGGAUGUACCAGAAAGCAGAAAAGAGGCAUCUAACACAUACACACACACACACACACACACACACACACACACACACACACACACACACAAUCUACCACAUUUAGUAUACUUUGAGUUUGCCCACAAAUCACUCCUACCUAUUAAAUCUAGCCAGGCAACAGAUCACCAUUCGACUGUACUGUCUUGAGCUUGAGGAUAUAAAUAGUAACCACUAAUUAAAUUAUAUCUAUAUAUAUUUGCCAGUGUUUUUUCUAUGUAAAACUAAACCAAUUAUCCAAUUAAAACCUAGCUCCCCUAAUUCCUGAAAGGAACAUUCUAGAAGGAAAACCAUGGUAACUUGGUCUUCCAAUGGGUGAAAGAUCCUCAUAGAUACAGAGGCAGUAGACACCAACACUAUACAUUAUCCACAAUAAUAAAUUAAUUAAUUUUAAAAGCUAUGGCU